UUUUUUAUUGAUGUUCAAUUUGCCAACAUAUAGAAUAACACCCAGUGCUCAUCCCAUCAAGUGCCCCCCUCAGUGUCCCGUCACCCAUUCACCCCCACCUUUUUAUGGAUAUACAAAGUUAAUCAACUUUAUAAAAUUCUGAAAGAAGCUGUUUCUUUUUUUAGUUAUUUGUAAAUUACAAAACUGUCAAGCUUCAUAGGCUCAUUCAUUUGUUGUAUCCUUGAUUUAUAGUGUAGAUCCAUAGAAGUCAUUUUAGUGAAACUAAAUACCCAAAUACAAACUAUGCAUUACAUUAAUAGACAAUAGGCUCUUGAAUAAGAGUGAGAGAAUAAGAGAAAUACAAGGAAUGGUGUCUUGCUAUUUUUAGUUGGCUUUUCCUGUUGUCCAGGUCCUCUGAGAACUGGGUGGGAAUCUAGAUUUAUUGAGUCCAGUCUACAUCAAGCAUUCUGUGAGCCUGUUGACAUACAUUAUCUCUUUUAUUGCUCAUAACAAUCCUAUUCCUAUGUGUAUUGUUAUCUUCCUAUUUUAGAUGUAGAAAUAAAUUUGUAGAAUAAAGUAUCAUCCUUAAUGUCUCACAGUGAUAAUACAUGAUGGCACCAGGAUUCCAAUCUGGUUAUUCUAAGAGCUGAGGUCUUUCCUCAAUGCAUUGUGCUCAAUCCUUUACUCCAGACCUUGAUAUGCCCACAUAUGCCAUGUCUGUGUUACAUGUAUAAUUUGUACAUGUGUGUAAUACAAAAAUUCUUUAUCAGCCACUAACAGGAAAUUGCACAUUAAAAAUAAAUAAAACAUUUAAGGCAUUACCAUUAAAGAAAGGAAAAAGAUUUAGAUGUAUAUUGCCAAUACAGCAUUGAACAUUAUUCAGGAGACUCAGGCUAAUGUAAAAGGAGUAUAAACAUUGAAAAGAAAGAAACAAGUCACUUUUGCAGACCUUAUGUUAUAUAUCAAGAAAAUUCAUGGGAAUUAAAUAAAUUCAUUUCAGUAGCUAUUCAUGUUUAAGAUAAAUAUUUUUAACAGUUAACAUUUUCUUUUUAAACCAAAAGUAACUGGUUACUGAAAUAACUGGAAAAUCUCCAUUCACACUAGAAAAAAUAAUGUAAAUGACUAGAAAUAAGCUUAACAUGAAGAAUAAAACUUAUAUUUAAAAAAAGAACUAUAAAGCAUUAAGGUAUCACACACCAAAAGAUCUAAGUAUAGAUACAUGUUCCUAGAUAAAAGGUUUCACUGUUAUAUAAGUUGGGUCCAAAUUAAUCUAUAAAUGCAAUGCAUUCCCAAAACAUUGUAGAAGAGACUUGACAAGUUAAUUCUAAUACAUCAGAAAAGUGGAGAUUAUUUUUUAAAGAAAAAAAUUAUUUUUAAGACCCACAGUACAUAAAAUAUUGUGGUAAUAGCAUAAAAGUAAUUAAGUAGGUCAAAGCAGAGUAUAUGCAAAUAGAGCCAUGACUGAAAGAUAAUUUGGUGUAUGAUAAAAAGGAUAUUUCAGUUCAAGGAGGAAAGGAUAGAGCUAGCUAUUCCAACAUUAGGGGGAAGGGAUGUGGAAUAUAGCCUUCAUUAGCCCACUUGAAAAUGAGUGAAAAAUAUGAUCAGAUAAUUUACAGACUUGAUAAUACAAAUGAGGCAAUAAGUUAUAUAGUAGCCCUAAUACAUGCACAAAAAAUAAUAUUGGAUAUCAAAGAAUUUUCUAUAAAAUUUUAAAACAUACAAUUAACAGGAGAAAAUGAAGGAAAAUAUAUCUAUAACUCUAGAGUGGGUUGCCUUCCUACACAAGAUAUAUUAUUAAAAAGCAAUAAAUGACCAGUCAAUCUGACUGCAUCAACCAUAAGAUUUCUGUAUAGCAGAAGAUAUAUACAGUGUUAAAAGACAAUGAACAGCAAUAUUUU
rnacentral:lncRNA from 1 species